rnacentral:rRNA from 1 species
GAUGAACGCUGGCGGCGUGCCUAAUACAUGCAAGUCGAGCGAACAGACGAGGAGCUUGCUCCUCUGACGUUAGCGGCGGACGGGUGAGUAACACGUGGAUAACCUACCUAUAAGACUGGGAUAACUUCGGGAAACCGGAGCUAAUACCGGAUAAUAUAUUGAACCGCAUGGUUCAAUAGUGAAAGACGGUUUUGCUGUCACUUAUAGAUGGAUCCGCGCCGCAUUAGCUAGUUGGUAAGGUAACGGCUUACCAAGGCAACGAUGCGUAGCCGACCUGAGAGGGGGUCGGCCCCCAGGGGACUUGAACCACGGCCCAGACCCCUAGGGGGGGCAGCGGGAGGGAAUCUUCGGAAAGGGGGGAAAGUUUGCGGGAGAAACGGCGGGGGGGUGAAGAAGGGCUUGGGGCGGGAAAACGCUGUUAUAGGGGAAAAACAAUUUUGAAAGUAACGAUGCGGGUCUUGCGGGAACCGAUAAAGAAAGCCCGGGCAAAUACGGG